ensembl:lncRNA
CUCACAUCCCUCCAUGGCUUCUGCUGCAUUCCUGGAUUGUGGGUUUCCCAACCAAGCCUUCUACCUCUUGUCAGCUUCAGCCUCUUGGACUCAACCAAUUUUGCUGUCCUGGAUUUCUCCCUUGUGGACUCUGUUCAACUUCUGUCUGUUUUUGGAUGCUCCCCAGUCUUCAGUCUGCCAGUUUUGUUUCCCCACUAGCUUCUGGGUUCUCCUAGCCUGCCUGGCCUUUAUCUCGGUUUUCCCCUGGUUUUUGUAAGUACAUUGCUGUGUUGUUUGGUUGAGGUUAUUCCUGUUUGGUUUUGCGUUUUUUGUAGGUUUGGUAGUGUAGUUUCUUUUAGUGUUAGUUGUGGUUUAGUUCGUCUGCUGGGGUCUGAUUCACGAAGCAGGUUCAACAAACUGUUGUUGGUUAAAUCAACUCGGAGUGGUUUCCUCCGGAGUUAAGCACGUGCACCACAGCUCUGAAAAGCCAGUAUCAAUGGAGCGCCGAUUCGACGAGUCACCAUGGCAACGGGUAAGCGGAGGACUACACCGUUUGAAUUGGAAAUCUUCAUGCGUUCAUAUAGCGAGUUUGAACACGUUUUUAGAAAGAAGUGCAGCACCUGCAGCUGCAAAAGAGAGGGAGACGGCGUGGGAGAACAUUGCUGCCCGAGUCAAUGUGUGCAAGAGGGAGACGGCGUGGGAGAACAUUGCUGUCCGAGUCAAUGUGUGCAAUCCUGUGGGGCAGAGAGGCAAGAAGCAUGAAUCGCUGGACAGACUUGAUGUCAAAUUCUGACAACUUCAUAAUUGUGUUUGUUGAGUUCUGUCAUCUCCGACCGACCGACCGUGCGACUUGUCUGGAUGUACAUUCUGCACAGAACGAUUGCUCAACAACUUUCAAUGCACAAAGUAACGAUAAUGUUACAUAAACAACUCUGUAACAAACUGCUAAACUUAC